rnacentral:rRNA from 1 species
UCCUACGGGGGGCUGCAGUGGGGAAUAUUGCGCAAUGGGCGAAAGCCUGACGCAGCAACGCCGCGUGAGUGAAGAAGGCCUUCGGGUCGUAAAGCUCUGUCAUAGGAGAAGAAGUGCUAUUAUAGAAAAUAUGAUAGUAUGACGGUAUCCUAGGAGGAAGCCACGGCUAACUACGUGCCAGCAGCCGCGGUAAUACGUAGGUGGCGAGCGUUGUCCGGAAUUACUGGGCGUAAAGGGCGUGUAGGCGGUCUAGCAAGGCUAAUGUGAAACCCCAGGGCUUAACCGUGGGCAUGCAUAAGAAACUGCAGGACUUGAGGGCAAGAGAGGAAAGUGGAAUUCCUAGUGUAGCGGUGAAAUGCGUAGAUAUUAGGAGGAACACCGGUGGCGAAGGCGACUUUCUGGAUUGUCCCUGACGCUGAGGCGCGAAAGCGUGGGGAGCAAACAGGAUUAGAUACCCCUGUAGUCC